AACGGCUAUCAUUUAAUGGUAGGAUGUCUGUCUUCCAAACAGAGUGUGUCGGUUCGAUUCCGACUAGCCGUA
rnacentral:tRNA from 1 species